GAUCCUGGCUUAGGAUGAACGCUGGCGGCGUGCCUAACACAUGCAAGUCGAGCGAUUACUUCGGUAAAGAGCGGCGGACGGGUGAGUAACGCGUGGGUAACCUGCCUCAUACACAUGGAUAACAUACCGAAAGGUAUGCUAAUACAGGAUAAUAUAAGAGAUUCACAUGGAUUUCUUAUCAAAGCUCCGGCAGUAUGAGAUGGACCCGCGUCUGAUUAGCUAGUUGGUAAGGUAAUGGCUUACCAAGGCGACGAUCAGUAGCCGACCUGAGAGGGUGAUCGGCCACAUUGGAACUGAGACACGGUCCAAACUCCUACGGGAGGCAGCAGUGGGGAAUAUUGCACAAUGGGCGAAAGCCUGAUGCAAGCAACGCCGCGUGAGUGAUGAAGGCCUUCGGGUCGUAAAACUCUGUCCUCAAGGAAGAUAAUGACGGUACUUGAGGAGGAAGCCCCAGCUAACUACGUGCCAGCAGCCGC
rnacentral:rRNA from 1 species